AUUGAACGCUGGCGGCAUGCCUUACACAUGCAAGUCGAACGGUAACGGGCCUUCGGGUGCCGACGAGUGGCGAACGGGUGAGUAAUACAUCGGAACGUGCCCGAUCGUGGGGGAUAACGAGGCGAAAGCUUUGCUAAUACCGCAUACGAUCUACGGAUGAAAGCAGGGGACCGCAAGGCCUUGCGCGGACGGAGCGGCCGAUGGCAGAUUAGGUAGUUGGUGGGAUAAAAGCUUACCAAGCCGACGAUCUGUAGCUGGUCUGAGAGGAUGAUCAGCCACACUGGCACUGAGACACGGCCCAGACUCCUACGGGAGGCAGCAGUGGGGAAUAUUGGACAAUGGGCGCAAGCCUGAUCCAGCCAUGCCGCGUGCAGGAUGAAGGCCUUCGGGUUGUAAACUGCUUUUGUACGGAACGAAAAGCCUUCUUUUAAUACAGGAGGGUCAUGACGGUACCGUAAGAAUAAGCACCGGCUAACUACGUG
rnacentral:rRNA from 1 species